UACAGAGGGUGCGAGCGUUAAUCGGAAUUACUGGGCGUAAAGCGCGCGUAGGCGGCUUUGCAAGUCGGGUGUGAAAUCCCCAGGCUUAACCUGGGAACUGCAUUCGAGACUGCAUUGCUAGAGUAUGGGAGAGGGAAGUGGAAUUUCCGGUGUAGCGGUGAAAUGCGUAGAUAUCAGGAGGAACACCGGUGGCGAAGGCGGUUCUCUGGGCCUUACCUGACGCUGAGGAGCGAAAGCGUGGGGAGCGAACAGG
rnacentral:rRNA from 1 species